CCCAGGCAGUGCCUCGACUUAAUUGCAACGUCAGGAAAUGGUGGCUUUGAGAUCUUCAGUUUGAUGCCGAUACAGCCAGAAAGGAGGGAAGCCGGAAGCCCUGACUGCCCGCAGAACAGGCGAGGGACGCUUCACAGAGCACUCAGGAAGGCGGUGGGAAAGGGAAAGGAAGCUGAGCCGAUCCACCCAAUUACAAUGACCAGCAAAGCAGAUUCAGCAACCUGAAAGCAGAGGUGUGGCAGAGAAAAAGAAGUCGGGGGAAGCCAGAAGAGAAGGAUAAAAGUUGCCAUGAAAGCAAGACUGAAACAUGAGUCUGCUGAGUUAAAGCAGAUCCCAACGAGUGGAGUCUGGGCUGAUGGGACCAGCUACUGGAAAACAAAGCCUGAAGCUGAUGGCUAGGGAGAGGUUGUGUCAUUUUGUUGCUAUUGUAAAACAACUGGAAAUCAGAAGCUCUUACCAAUCAACUACAGAUCUCCCAGGGAACUACCAAUAGAUCUACCAGGGAUACACCAAUAGGGAUCUGGUCACCUCUGCAUUAAAUCAUUUGUAUGGACAUUGGCCAAUCUUACAGGGUUGUUGUAGGGUGGUUCCAAGGAGUGCUUGCAAGAAUGAAAUUGCAAUGGCAGAUGUGAGAAUCUUCAAAACAUUGCCAAAGAAGGCAUUCUCAAAGAAGCAAUAUCACAUUUCUACUGUGUACCCAGGAACUGAGAAGACAGCAAUUGUGGAUUUGCUCAUCCCUGUGCAGCUCUUCCCUUCUGCAUCAAGUGUUGUGCAUCAAACUGAGACACACCUGAGUGUCAAACACAAGAUAAUGGCUGCCUCCAUUAGACACUGCUGCUAGAAGCAGCUACAUCAUAUGGCUUUAUGGUAAAGCAUGUCAUUUUAGCACAAACCUGUCUUGUAGAGUUGUAAUACUCUAGAUCAGGAUAGGUAGAUUUCAGGUUUUUGGUAUUAACCUUUAACAACACCCCCCAAAGAUCCACCAACCAGAACCAGCCACAGAAUAUAUACACUUAGAAUUAAAUAACUCUUAGCCCAGGGAUUUGUUUUGAGUUCCAGAACAGAGCUGAACUCACAGCCCUUCCAGAAAUCCACCAGCUUUCUUCUUUUCAACAGUAUAAUGGUUGGAGUGUGUGUGUCAUUUUGUUGUUUUCAUAGUUAAACAAUUAUGAGUUGGAAAUCCUCACUCAUCAUCUGCAAGUCAUCCUGAGAUCUGCCACUACAUAUCAAUCUACUUUCUGCCACAACUCUUUCUAUUGAAUGUAAGCCUUAAUAGGAAGCAGUUUAAGGAAGUAUAACAGAUCCAGCAUGCCUUGCCUUGUUGCCAGUAAAAGGGAAUUGCUUCAAUGGCACAUUUAAUGUGUCACUGAAGUCAUUUUCCUUUCCUGGCAGUAAAUGUGUAUAUAAGGGGGACUGUACACCUGUUGAAUGUUACAUAUGAAUAACUGUACAGUGCAGUUAUUCACAUGUAACAUUGUGUGUACCUGUAUGGGAAAAUGACUGCAAGACAUUUCAAUGUAUGAGGAGGUAUAGGAUGGCAUGCUCAAUUCCCCUGUCUCAUGCUCCUAUCUCACACCCCUCCAUGCCAGCCAGGUGGGCCUUUUUGCAUGCUUUCUCACCCUGCCUAUGUAGAAUAAGCUUUGUUUAUGUAACACAGAUGAGGUAAGAAGAGGCUGUUAAUUGGUCAUAAUAGACAGUGGAUGCCAAUCGCUCUUUAGUGAAGAUGUUUUCUCUCACUGCUAAAGCCUGGGAACGUGGCCUUCAAGGCAAGUACAAUGAAUCAUGCUGCUACAAAGCCCAAGGAUACUGACCAACAGAACUGAUAAACAAAGGCAGAAGCAUGAGACCCAAAGAUUAAGAAACAUUCUCACAUGUAUAGUUAGUUAAAGUCACAGAUCCAGGAGCUCUUUUGGGUAUAAAUAAGGCUCCUAACUCCUGUUCAAGAAGUCUCAACACAGACUGAGUCUGGUGAGGUGCUGUGUACGUAUUAGCCAGCUAGGAGCUCUCUGUUCUUGUUACCCAGGGCUUCCAACAGCAGAAA